CGUUGAAACACCAGUUCUCAUACGAUCACCAAAGUUAAGCAACGUCGAGCCUGGUCAAUACCUAGAUGUGUGACAGCCUGGGAAUACCAGUUACUGUA